rnacentral:rRNA from 1 species
GGAGUCUGGACCGUGUCUCAGUUCCAGUGUGGGGGACCUUCCUCUCAGAACCCCUAUCCAUCGUAGCCUUGGUGGGCCGUUACCCCGCCAACUAGCUAAUGGAACGCAUCCCCAUCCCUUACCGAACAAAUCUUUGGUCAAGUGAAAAGGCUAUCGCUUGACAACAUCGGGGAUUAAUCCUACUUUCGCAGGGCUAUACCCGAGUAAGGGCCAGGUUGGAUACGCGUUACGCACCCGUGCGCCGGUCGCCAUCUAUCAAAGCAAGCUUCGAUAAUGAUGCCCCUCGACUUGCAUGUGUUAAGCCUGUAGCUAGCGUUCAUC